rnacentral:rRNA from 1 species
GAAACUAACAAGGAUUCCCCUAGUAACUGCGAGUGAAGCGGGAAAAGCUCAAAUUUAAAAUCUGGCGGUCUUUGGCCGUCCGAGUUGUAGUCUGGAGAAGUGCUUUCCGCGCUGGACCGUGUAUAAGUCUCUUGGAACAGAGCGUCAUAGAGGGUGAGAAUCCCGUCUUUGACACGGACUACCAGUGCUUUGUGAUGCGCUCUCAAAGAGUCGAGUUGUUUGGGAAUGCAGCUCAAAAUGGGUGGUGAAUUCCAUCUAAAGCUAAAUAUUGGCGAGAGACCGAUAGCGAACAAGUACCGUGAGGGAAAGAUGAAAAGCACUUUGGAAAGAGAGUUAAACAGUACGUGAAAUUGCUGAAAGGGAAACGCUUGAAGUCAGUCGCGUUGUCUGGGACUCAGCCUUGCUUUUGCUUGGUGCACUUUCCGGAUGACGGGCCAGCAUCGAUUUUGACCGUCGGAAAAGGGCUAGGGUAAUGUGGCACCUCCGGGUGUGUUAUAGACUUUAGUCGCAUACGGCGGUCGGGAUCGAGGAACGCAGCGCGCCGUAAGGCAGGGGUUCGCCCACUUUCGCGCUUAGGAUGCUGGCGUAAUGGCUUUAAACGACCCGUCUUGAAACACGGACCAAGGAGUCUAACAUACCUGCGAGUGUUUGGGUGGAAAACCCGAGCGCGUAAUGAAAGUGAAAGUUGAGACCUCUGUCGUGGAGGGCAUCGACGCCCGGACCUGACGUUCUCUGACGGAUCCGCGGUAGAGCAUGUAUGUUGGGACCCGAAAGAUGGUGAACUAUGCCUGAAUAGGGUGAAGCCAGAGGAAACUCUGGUGGAGGCUCGUAGCGAUUCUGACGUGCAAAUCGAUCGUCAAAUUUGGGUAUAGGGGCGAAAGACUAAUCGAACCAUCUAGUAG